UAGGGAAUCUUCCGCAAUGGACGCAAGUCUGACGGAGCAACGCCGCGUGAGUGAAGAAGGUUUUCGGAUCGUAAAACUCUGUUGUUAGAGAAGAACAAGUGCUAGAGUAACUGUUAGCGCCUUGACGGUAUCUAACCAGAAAGCCACGGCUAACUACGUGCCAGCAGCCGCGGUAAUACGUAGGUGGCAAGCGUUGUCCGGAUUUAUUGGGCGUAAAGCGAGCGCAGGCGGUUCCUUAAGUCUGAUGUGAAAGCCCCCGGCUCAACCGGGGAGGGUCAUUGGAAACUGGGGAACUUGAGUGCAGAAGAGGAGAGUGGAAUUCCAUGUGUAGCGGUGAAAUGCGUAGAUAUAUGGAGGAACACCAGUGGCGAAGGCGACUCUCUGGUCUGUAACUGACGCUGAGGCUCGAAAGCGUGGGUAGCAAACAGGAUUAGAUACCCUGGUAGUCCACGCCGUAAACGAUGAGUGCUAAGUGUUGGAGGGUUUCCGCCCUUCAGUGCUGCAGUUAACGCAUUAAGCACUCCGCCUGGGGAGUACGACCGCAAAGGUUG
rnacentral:rRNA from 1 species